rnacentral:rRNA from 1 species
UACGGGGGGGGGCAAGCGUUGUUCGGAAUUACUGGGCGUAAAGGGCUCGUAGGCGGCCAACUAAGUCAGACGUGAAAUCCCUCGGCUUAACCUGGGAACUGCAUCCGAUACUGGAUGGCUUGAAUUCGGGAGAGGGAUGCAGAAUUCCAGGUGUAGCGGUGAAAUGCGUAGAUAUCUGGAGGAAUACCGGUGGCGAAGGCGGCAUCCUGGACCGACAUUGACGCUGAACGGCGAAAGCUAGGGGAGCAAACGGG